UAGCUUCUCAGACUUUCAUUUUCCCUCCCGCUUGAACGCCAGAGGGAAAAAGCUACAGAAGUUGUUUACAAACGAGAAAGCAAGUCGACUGAAGGGAAAUUUGCUAAGGCCCUGCGUGCCUGCAGGAGAUGAGAACGAAUUGGGUCCCUUGAUUAGUGAAGUCCAUGUCCAGUAGCAAUGUUAUUGUUUCCUAUUUCCAGCUAGAUGUUGGAUCAUGGUAGGCACGGUUUUUGUUUUUUGAGGUCUCUAAAGACCUGUUGGAUUUAGUUUUCAUUACUUUGGAGUUUUCCAGAGAUGUUUACAUCUGGAUGAAAAUUUCAUGCCUUGUUUUUUUGACUUAAACUUAUUUGGAUUUGUUUUAAUUUAGUCUAUUAGGCUUCUAAGAGAUGGAAACAAAUGUUAUAUUUCUUUAGUGCGUUGGACAGUUGAGACUGAGUUUAGACACUGAAGGAUUGAUUCUUGAUGUCAAAAUUAUUGCAACUGCUUCUAAUUUUUUUUUUGCCUUUCAAUGUAUUUUUCAAUAGAUCUCUGCAUAAGCAAGGUCUAAGUGCAAGAUGUAAGUUUGAAAGUAUUAUUAUAAUACUUGAUAUUUCCUUCACA